CAGUAGCCGCGGGAAUACGAAGGGUGCAAGCGUUACUCGGAAUUACUGGGCGUAAAGCGUGCGCAGGCGGUUAUAUAAGACAGAUGUGAAAUCCCCGGGCUCAACCUGGGAACUGCAUUUGUGACUGUAUAGCUAGAGUACGGCAGAGGGGGAUGGAAUUCCGCGUGUAGCAGUGAAAUGCGUAGAUAUGCGGAGGAACACCGAUGGCGAAGGCAAUCCCCUGGGCCUGUACUGACGCUCAUGCACGAAAGCGUGGGGAGCAAACAGGAUUAGAUACCCCUGUAGUCCCUGUCUCUUAUAC
rnacentral:rRNA from 1 species